GAAUCACCGUUAAUUCCAACCCUCACCCUGUUUCAUCUGUCUUCCCUGACCAUCAGCCCCAGAAGGGCCAUGACCUCACUCAUAUUACUCAUAUUCAAGGGAACCAAGAGGGUGGACCUUACUGGCUUGCUUUCUGUCCCCUCUAGUCCCUUCUGUGCAAGGGAUGGGACGGUGGCCAGGCUAGUCCUGAGCCACUUCCCCUGAUUCUCUUCCUGCCUCCUGCUCUAGACGUGUACUCAUAUGAUGAGGAUGACAUGGUCCUGGACCCCAGCCUAGCUGAGCAUCUGUCCCACUUCGGCAUCGACAUGCUGAAGAUGCAGAAGACAGACAAGACGAUGACUGAGUUGGAGAUAGACAUGAACCAGCGGAUUGGUGAAUGGGAGCUGAUCCAGGAGUCGGGUGUGCCACUCAAGCCCCUGUUUGGGCCUGGCUACACAGGCAUCCGGAAUCUGGGUAACAGCUGCUACCUCAACUCCGUGGUCCAGGUGCUCUUCAGCAUCCCUGACUUCCAGAGGAAGUAUGUGGAUAAGCUGGAGAAGAUCUUCCAGAAUGCUCCGACGGACCCUACCCAGGACUUCAGCACCCAGGUGGCCAAGCUGGGCCAUGGCCUUCUCUCCGGGGAGUAUUCCAAGCCAGUACCGGAGUCGGGCGAUGGGGAGCGGGUGCCAGAACAGAAGGAAGUUCAAGAUGGCAUUGCCCCUCGGAUGUUCAAGGCCCUCAUCGGCAAGGGCCACCCUGAAUUCUCCACCAACCGGCAGCAAGAUGCCCAGGAGUUCUUCCUUCACCUUAUCAACAUGGUGGAGAGGAAUUGCCGGAGCUCUGAAAAUCCUAAUGAAGUGUUCCGCUUCUUGGUGGAGGAAAAGAUCAAGUGCCUGGCCACAGAGAAGGUGAAGUACACCCAGCGAGUUGACUACAUCAUGCAGCUGCCUGUGCCCAUGGAUGCAGCCCUUAACAAAGAGGAGCUUCUGGAGUACGAGGAGAAGAAGCGGCAAGCCGAAGAGGAGAAGAUGGCACUGCCAGAACUGGUUCGGGCCCAGGUGCCCUUCAGCUCUUGCCUGGAGGCCUACGGGGCCCCUGAGCAGGUCGAUGACUUCUGGAGCACGGCCCUGCAGGCCAAGUCAGUAGCUGUCAAGACCACAAGAUUUGCCUCAUUCCCUGACUACCUGGUCAUCCAGAUCAAGAAGUUCACCUUUGGCUUAGACUGGGUGCCCAAGAAACUGGAUGUGUCCAUCGAGAUGCCAGAGGAGCUCGACAUCUCCCAGCUGAGGGGCACAGGGCUGCAGCCUGGAGAGGAGGAGCUGCCAGACAUUGCCCCACCCCUGGUCACUCCGGAUGAGCCCAAAGCGCCCAUGCUGGAUGAAUCAGUCAUCAUCCAGCUGGUGGAGAUGGGCUUCCCUAUGGACGCCUGCCGCAAAGCUGUCUACUACACGGGCAACAGUGGGGCCGAGGCCGCCAUGAACUGGGUCAUGUCACACAUGGAUGAUCCAGGUAGGCUGGGGUGGGGAGCAGAGUGGGGCAGGGCUCCAUCCUCCCCCAAACACAUCAACCCCUUCACAUCCACAGAUUUUGCAAACCCCCUCAUCCUGCCUGGCUCUAGUGGGCCAGGCUCCACAAGCGCGGCAGCCGACCCCCCUCCCGAGGACUGCGUGACCACCAUUGUCUCCAUGGGCUUCUCCCGGGACCAGGCCCUGAAAGCGCUGCGGGCCACGAACAAUAGUUUAGAACGGGCUGUGGACUGGAUCUUCAGUCACAUUGACGACCUGGAUGCUGAAGCUGCCAUGGACAUCUCAGAGGGCCGCUCAGCUGCCGACUCCAUCUCUGAGUCUGUGCCAGUGGGACCUAAAGUCCGGGAUGGUCCUGGAAAGUAUCAGCUCUUUGCCUUCAUUAGUCACAUGGGCACCUCUACCAUGUGUGGUCACUAUGUCUGCCACAUCAAGAAGGAAGGCAGAUGGGUGAUCUACAAUGACCAGAAAGUGUGUGCCUCCGAGAAGCCGCCCAAGGACCUGGGCUACAUCUACUUCUACCAGAGAGUGGCCAGCUAAGAGCCCGCCUCACCCCUUACCAAUGAGGGCAGGGGAAGACCACCUGGCAUGAGGGAGAGGGGCUGAGGGACGGACUUCAGCCCCUCUGCUCUGUACCCUGUUUCCUUUUGUCCCUGGCAGCAGGGAAGAAGCUGGAGGCCGUGGGAGAAUGGCUGGGCAGAGCAGAGGGGCAGCGCUAGACUCUGGGGAUGGAGCAGGACGGGGACGGGAGGGGCCGGCCACCUGUCUGUAAGGAGACUUUGUUGCUUCCCCUGCCCCCGGAAUCCACAAUGCUCUGCUUCUCUGUGUGGCCCCGCCCAGCCCCCUGGUGUGGAGGGAGGGGUCUCGUUUGUGCGCGUGGGUGUAGCUUUGUGCAUCCUCUCCCAGUGGAGCGAUCACCUGUGCCUCCCCUCCCCCUUUGUUUGCCCCUGUGUGGUUGGUCAAGGAGGGAUGUGAGGCAAAUAGGGACCCCCCCCUUGCCCUCCUGCCUCAGUCUUUCCCCCACCCUGUCUCUUCCUUGUCCUUCUCUGGAAAAUGCCAAAAUACACGAUGUGAAUAAAAGUACAACGGCUAAA
rnacentral:sRNA from 1 species